UACGGAGGGGGCUAGCGUUGUUCGGAAUUACUGGGCGUAAAGCGCAUGUAGGCGGAUUUGUAAGUCAGGGGUGAAAUCCCGGGGCUCAACCUCGGAACUGCCUUUGAUACUGCAAAUCUCGAGUCCGGAAGAGGUGAGUGGAAUUCCUAGUGUAGAGGUGAAAUUCGUAGAUAUUAGGAAGAACACCAGUGGCGAAGGCGGCUCACUGGUCCGGUACUGACGCUGAGGUGCGAAAGCGUGGGGAGCAAACAGG
rnacentral:rRNA from 1 species